CAGCAGCCGCGGUAAUACGUAGGGUGCGAGCGUUGUCCGGAUUUAUUGGGCGUAAAGAGUUUGUAGGCUUUUUGGUAAGUUAUGUUUCAAAGACCGGGGCUUAACCUCGGAAAGGGGCAUAAUACUGCCAGAAUUGAAGAAUGUCGGGGUUACUGGAAUUGUCGGUGUAGGGGUGAAAUCCGUUGAUAUCGACAAGAACACCAAGGGCGAAGGCGGGUAACUAGGCAUUUCUUGACGCUGAGAAACGAAAGCUAGGGUAGCAAAAGGGAUUAGAGACCCCUGUAGUCCUAGCCGUAAACGAUGCUCGCUAGGGAUGGGGAAUUUAUUUUCCGUCUCGCAAGCUAACGCGUUAAGCGAGCCGCCUGGGGAGUACGGUCGCAAGACUAAAACUCAAAGGAAUUGACGGGGACCUGCACAACCAGUGGAGCAUGUGGUUUAAUUCAAGACGAACCGAAGAACCUUACCUGACGUGACAUAUUGGUUGGCACAUCGCCAGAGAUGGGAAAUUCUUUUCGAAGGUACUAGAACAGGUGCUGCAUGGCUAUCGUCAGCUCGUGUCGUGAGGUGUUCCCUUCAGUGGGGUAACGAGCGCAACCCUCGCCGUAUGUUGAAUAUUUCAUACGGGACUGCCCGAGUCAUUCUCGGGAGGAAGGCGGGGACGACGUUAAGUCAGCAUGGCCCUUAUGUCCAGGGCUACACACAUGCUACAAUGGAGCCGACAAUGGGUUGCCAAGUGGUAACACGGAGCUAAUCCCAUCAAACGGCUUCUCAGUGGGGAUUGAGGGCUGCAAUUCGCCCUCAUGAACGUGGAAUUGGUAGUAAUCGCGGAUCAGCUAAGCCGCGGUGAAUACGUUCUCAGGUCUUGUACACACCGCCCGUCAAGUUAGUGAAGUUGGAAGCACCCGAACCUCGAUUGAAUCGGGGGAAGGUGAGACCAGCGACAAGAAUUAAGUCGUAACAAGGUAACCGUA
rnacentral:rRNA from 1 species